rnacentral:rRNA from 1 species
GACGAACGCUGGCGGCGUGCUUAACACAUGCAAGUCGAACGAAGUGGCGAACGGGUGAGUAACGCGUAAUCAACCUGCCCUUCAGAGGGGGACAACAGUUGGAAACGACUGCUAAUACCGCAUACUGAAGGAGGGGAUUGCGUCUGAUUGGCGAGUUGGAGGGGUAACGGCCCACCAAGGCGAGGAUCAGUAGCCGGGCGUGAAGGGUGGACGGCCACAUUGGGACUGAGACACGGCCCAGACUCCUACGGGAGGAAGCAGUGGGGAAUCGUGCGCAAUGGACGAAAGUCUGACGGAGCAACGCCGCGUGAGUGAUGACGGCCUUCGGGUUGUAAAGCUCUGUUAAUCGGGACGCGGUACCGGAAUAGAAAGCCACGGCUAACUACGUGCCAGCAGCCGCGGUAAUAC